GGUGGUGAGAUAUGCUUACACUUCCCUUUGUUUAAGUUUUUAGAUCUAUUUCUUUCAGAUUCGCUGUUUUUCUGUUUGUUUCUUUGGAUACAUUUUUCUGUAAAUUUCCUCAAUUUUGUGCUUCUGUCAUGUGAUUUUAGUAUCUGUACUAAAUCUCGUGUUGAGUGCAUAUCUUCUGCAUCUUCCCCUUCCCUUCCCUUCUCUGCUAGUGUGAUUUUUUUUUUGACGUGGGAGUUCGUGUUAAAAGAAGGGAUC
rnacentral:misc_RNA from 1 species